rnacentral:rRNA from 1 species
CGACCGGCGCACGGGUGAGUAACACGUAUCCAACCUGCCGUCUACUCUCGGACAGCCUUCUGAAAGGAAGAUUAAUACAAGAUGGCAUCAUGAGUCCGCAUGUUCACAUGAUUAAAGGUAUUCCGGUAGACGAUGGGAUGCGUUCCAUUAGAUAGUAGGCGGGGUAACGGCCCACCUAGUCUUCGAUGGGUAGGGGUUCUGAGAGGAAGGUCCCCCACAUUGGAACUGAGACACGGUCCAA